GUGUGUGUGUGUGUGUGUGUGAGUGUGUGUGUGUGUUUUCUGUGAGUUAUGUUUAUAUUACAUUCUGGUGACCAAAUCUCCCCUCAGUGUGACAGAAAACCUGCAAUUUUGACCUUGUGGGGACAGUUUUCCAGUCCUCACAAGGGGAAACUCAGUUUUAUAAAAAUCUCUGAUGCAGUAAAAAAAAAAAAAAAAAAAAAAAAAAAAAAAAGGCAAGUCUUUGUUUAGUUACUUUACAAAUGAAAUUUACAAAUGAGAGGAGGCCAUUUGGCCCAGCAAGCUCGUUUGGGGAGAACUUAACUAAUAGCUCAGAGUUCAAAUCUAGCUCUGAUUUAAAGAAACCCAGGGUUUUAGCUUGCAGUAUGCUAACAGGAAGACUAUUCCAAACUCUAACUACACACUGUGUAAAGAAGUUCUUUCUCAAAUCCAGUUUAAAAUGUUCUCCUGCCAAUUUCCACCUAUGGCCACGAGUUCUUGUUUUUGAACUAAUAUUGAAGUAACUAUUUGGCUGAACAGCAUCCGAACCUGUUAGAAUCUUAUAUACCUGGAUCAUGUCCCCCCUUAGUCUCCUUUGCUCGAGGCUGAAAAGAUUCAGCUCAGCUAACCUCUCCUCAUAAGACAUUCCUCUAAGACCAGGAAUCAUUCUCGUAGCCCUACGUUGACCCCUUGCCAAGGCAGCAGUGUCCUUCUUAAGGUAUGGUGACCAAACCUGCACACAAUAUUCUAGGUGGGGUCUUACCAAGGAAUUGUAUAAUCAUAGCAUCACCUCCCUUGACUUAAACUCCACACACAUAGAGAUCUAACCAAACAUUCUAUUGGCCUUCUUUAUUACUUCCCCACACUGGCAAGAGUGGGACAUGGAAGCAUCAACAUACACACCAAGGUCAUUCUGAUAAUCAGCUACCUUUAUUUCAGUGGAACGCAUAAAAUAUCCGUACUUUAUAAUUCUGCUCCCUGCAUGGAUUACCUUACAUUUAUCUCUGUUAAAUUUCAUCUGCCAGCGCAUCACAGGGCACAGACACAAGUGCCACCCAUGGGCAGUUUAGUAACUCCAAUUAACCACAGCAGAUUUACUAAAUGCCCAACUAUUUUCAGGCUAUACUGAUCUCCUACAAAUGGACUGUAAGGAGUACAUGGAAAUGGACAGAAAUGGAAAGAAAUUUACAAUUUUCAAGCGCCUCAUUCAACGUCAAGUGGAAAAAAAAAAAAGGAAA